rnacentral:rRNA from 1 species
UACGGAGGAUCCGAGCGUUAUCCGGAUUUACUGGGUUUAAAGGGUGCGUAGGCGGGCGCCUAAGUCAGCGGUGAAAGGCAGCGGCUCAACCGUUGGAAUGCCGUUGAAACUGGGCGCCUUGGAUUCGGUCGGGGCCGGCGGAAUGCGUGGUGUAGCGGUGAAAUGCUUAGAUAUCACGCGGAACGCCGAUCGCGAAGGCAGCUGGCCAGGCCGAGAUCGACGCUGAGGCACGAAAGCGUGGGGAUCAAACAGG